CCAACUCCUCCAAAACGUCUGAAGGCUUGACCACCCUAAUAACGGCGUUUUUUUCUUGUUUUAAAACUGAUGAUUUGCUUACUCGGGGAUGAUAACAACAGAUGAGAGCUGGAGGCAAUCCAGUGGACUGAUGCAUUAACCUUACUAGUCACAGCAAAAAACAAAUGGAACUUGCCAACAGAUUGUGCCAGAAAGUUCCUUUGAUCCACAGUAAACUCCGUAGCAACCCAGGAAACCAAUCAGUACUAAGAAGGCCCCUAUGGCGAUGCAGAGAUACCCCACAUUCACCAAUUGCUUC